rnacentral:rRNA from 1 species
UACGGAGGAGGCAAGCGUUAUCCGGAAUUAUUGGGCGUAAAGCGUCCGUAGGUGGCUAGUCAAGUCUGCGGUCAAAGACUGGGGCUUAACCCUGGAAAGGCCGUGGAAACUGACGAGCUAGAGUGCAGUAGGGGUAGAGGGAAUUCCCGGUGUAGCGGUGAAAUGCGUAGAGCUCGGGAAGAACAUCGGUGGCGAAAGCAGCUCUCUGGGACGGUACUGACGCUGAGACGCGAAAGCGUGGGGAGCGAACAGG